UACGGGGGGGGCAAGCGUUGUUCGGAAUUACUGGGCGUAAAGGGCUUGUAGGUGGCCAACUAAGUCAACAGUGAAAUCCCUCGGCUUAACCGGGGAACUGCGUCUGAUACUGGAUGGCUGGAGUUUGGGAGAGGGAUGCGGAAUUCCAGGUGUAGCGGUGAAAUGCGUAGAGAUCCGGAAGAACACCGGUGGCGAAGGCGGCCUGCUGGGCAGUUGCUGACACUGAGGCGCGACAGCGUGGGGAGCAAACAGG
rnacentral:rRNA from 1 species